rnacentral:rRNA from 1 species
GACGAACGCUGGCGGCGUGCCUAACACAUGCAAGUCGAGCGAGAGACUUCGGUCUCUAGCGGCGGACGGGUGAGUAACACGUGGGUAACCUGCCUCAUAGAGGGGGAUAGCCUUCCGAAAGGAAGAUUAAUACCGCAUAACGUAUUUUUGACGCAUGUCAGAAAUAUCAAAGGAGCAAUCCGCUAUGAGAUGGACCCGCGGCGCAUUAGCUAGUUGGUGAGGUAACGGCUCACCAAGGCCACGAUGCGUAGCCGACCUGAGAGGGUGAUCGGUCACAUUGGAACUGAGAUACGGUCCAGACUCCUACGGGAGGCAGCAGUGGGGAAUAUUGCACAAUGGGCGAAAGCCUGAUGCAGCAACGCCGCGUGAGUGAUGAAGGCCUUCGGGUUGUAAAGCUCUGUCUUUGGGGACGAUAAUGACGGUACCCAAGGAGGAAGCCACGGCUAACUACGUGCCAGCAGCCGCAGUAAUAC